rnacentral:tRNA from 1 species
GGGCCCGUAGCUCAGGGGUUUAGAGCGGCGGAUUUUUAACCCGUCGGGCGUCGGUUCGAAUCCGACCGGGCUCU